CCCAGACUCCUACGGGAGGCAGCAGUGGGGGAUAUUGCACAAUGGGGGGAACCCUGAUGCAGCGACGCCGCGUGGGUGAAGGAGCGUUUCGGCGCGUAAAGCCCUAUCGGCAGGGAAGAAGGAGGACGGUACCUGACUAAGAAGCCCCGGCUAACUACGUGCCAGCAGCCGCGGUAAUACGUAGGGGGCAAGCGUUAUCCGGAUUUACUGGGUGUAAAGGGGGCGCAGACGGCAGCGCAAGCCAGGAGUGAAAGCCCGGGGCCCAACCCCGGGACUGCUCUUGGAACUGCGCGGCUGGAGUGCAGGAGGGGCAGGCGGAAUUCCUGGUGUAGCGGUGAAAUGCGUAGAUAUCAGGAGGAACACCGGUGGCGAAGGCGGCCUGCUGGACUGCGACUGACGUUGAGGCCCGAAAGCGUGGGGAGCAAACAGGAUUAGAUACCCUAGUAAC
rnacentral:rRNA from 1 species